UGGGGAAUUUGGACAAUGGGCGAAAGCCUGAUCCAGCAAUGCCGCGUGUGUGAAGAAGGCCUUCGGGUUGUAAAGCACUUUUGUCCGGAAAGAAAUCCUUGGCUCUAAUACAGUCGGGGGAUGACGGUACCGGAAGAAUAAGCACCGGCUAACUACGUGCCAGCAGCCGCGGUAAUACGUAGGGUGCAAGCGUUAAUCGGAAUUACUGGGCGUAAAGCGUGCGCAGGCGGUUUGCUAAGACCGAUGUGAAAUCCCCGGGCUCAACCUGGGAACUGCAUUGGUGACUGGCAGGCUAGAGUAUGGCAGAGGGGGGUAGAAUUCCACGUGUAGCAGUGAAAUGCGUAGAGAUGUGGAGGAAUACCGAUGGCGAAGGCAGCCCCCUGGGCCAAUACUGACGCUCAUGCACGAAAGCGUGGGGAGCAAACAGGAUUAGAUACCCUGGUAGUCCACGCCCUAAACGAUGUCAACUAGUUGUUGGGGAUUCAUUCCUUAGUAACGUAGCUAACGCGUGAAGUUGACCGCCUGGGGAGUACGUCGCAAGAUUAAAACUCAAA
rnacentral:rRNA from 1 species